AAGACAACUCAUAGGGGUAGGAACUGAAAGCAGAUCGAUAAGGACCUGUUGAUCCAUAUUCAAGCAUGUAUAUAUGAAUGCCAGAUUGGACAGUAGAUAUAAAAUCAUUGUCAGCAAGCAAAACUGAAAGCAGAUCGCUGACGACCUAUAACCUAUUGAUCUAUAUUCAAGCUUGGACACUACAGACAAAAUCAUGACCACCAAGCAAAACUAAUAGCUGAAGCAUAAGGACCUGUUCAUCUAUAUUCAAG